UUGAGGUAUUAUUUGAAGAUUAGUAUAACCAAAAACUUUUGGGCGAGAGUAGUACUAGGAUGGGUGAAUUCCUGGGAAGUCCUCGUGUUGCACCCC
rnacentral:rRNA from 1 species